GGGUGUGGAGCUCAGUGGUAGAGCUUGUGCCUAGCAGGUAUAAGGUCCUGGGUUCAAUCCCCAAUACCUCCA
rnacentral:tRNA from 1 species